ACCAAGUGUAUUUUAACAUAACUAAAUGUUUAAACUUUAGAUCUUUAUUUUAAACUUUACCAUUAUUUUAAGAAGUUUUUGCUAGGGUAAAUGUUUUCCAUAAGUUUUUUUUUUUUUUUUUUUCUUUUAUAUAUCGGAUAAAGGGAUUACAUUUGUUCUCUGAGUUUUUAUAGAAGCCCCAUCGCUAUCACCAUCACUAUUUUGAUUUUUCCAAGAUGGCCGUUUUUGUUUCGCGAACGUUCUGCGAGGAGAGUUCGGCGACUUGCGUGACUUACGAACAGAACUGCCUAAUUGUGCCGCUUGUGCCUGGACAAUGGAAGAUGAUGCAAAGGCCAAAAGAAAGCUACUCUGCAUCUGCACUCUGAAUAAUGUGAUGUCUCGGUAGCUACACAUGCUUUGUUAAAGGGAAGUUUAUUUCGCCACUUGCUAGGCAUCAUUGAGGUGAUUUGGCUGUGUGCCUUUAUUUUAUGCUAAUAGAAUGUACUGCACUUACAACUGCUUGUUGUAGGUGCAGCCUACAACAAUCGGUUGCAAAGGAGCACCGUUUAGUGAAUCCAUUCGAUUAACAUAAGCAAGUCUGGAAGAUGCUAAAGACUAGAGCAUGAUGCACUGAGGCAUGUUGACCUAUGCUUGAGCACCCACUCUCCUCUCUUGGGCUGUAAACCAGGCAAAAUGUAAAAUUAUUCUUGCGAAAACAGCAGGGAUGUGGCAUGCAUAAAAACUUGUCGAUCAUGCUCUGAAUAUGCUGGCCGCCCAAGCGAGCGACUCACUGACUGACUGGCUCGGCUUUGCCAUCAGCCAAGGCAGGACAAGCAAAUGCUAGAGCAAGCAGUCAAGUUCGGUGAAUUUUGUUUUUCUAAAAACAAAUUUGCUAAAAGGAGAUUCGUUGCCAUUUCCUCUAAACGGAGUGUCUUCUUGAAAGAAUUCAAUAAAAAAGGGGGUUUCAAAACUUGUGCUUGGAAAAAUAGAUGCCUCUGCUCGGGCCGUACACAUCAACUUUCUUAGAUCUGUCGGUUGACAAACUCCAUAGAAGAGCAGCAGUAAAAAAAAAAAAAAAAAAAAAAUGAGACGUUUACAAUUCUUUGUAACAUGAAAUUAGAGCGCAGCGCUUGAGUAGGAGGAGGGGAGGUUAUGCCUCUCCUAUCCCUCCAUACCCUCUCCUCCCCCUCCCAUUUAGCAGGCAAUUUUCGCUAAAUUUCCUGCUAAAUUUAGCAAGAAUUUCCCCGCUAAAUUUAGCGGUUUAAGUUUCCUCUCUAAAUCUUGUGGGGAAAUUGAUGUCACACAACCUCAACACCAAUUCAGUUUCCCCGCUAUAUUUAGCGGGGAAACUGAAUUGGCGUUGAGGAAACAACCCUGCUAAAUGGCACAUGACUUCAUGCCACGUCACUCACAAACAAAUUCAGUUCCUCAGCUAGAUUUAGCAGAAAAAUUGACAUUGCGUGACCUCAACACAAAUUCAAUUUCUCACUAAAUUCAGCAAGGUGAUCAUGCAGACGGCGACGCAAUGAAGCGUGGAAAUGGGCACCUAAGAGCUGCACUCUAAACCAGUUUUUCUCUGUUGCCGGUGCACAAGCAGGUAAGGGCGGAUAGCAUUCCUAGUGCCAAUUCCCUUGCGGUCAACGAAAAACGCUUUUUGAACAACGCUCUUUCUGUUUUAAGUAUUGUGCAGGCCUUAAGUUUACUAUAAGAACAACAACAACAACAACAACAAAAAAAAAAAUCACUUUCCACUGCAGGUAAUGUGCAUCCAACAUUCCACUGGAUCUGUCCAAAGGGCAGGCUGAUACUGCGGCAGACGCCACUGAGCGGACACACUGCAAAAAGGCGUCGGGCGUUUUCCGAAGUUUGUCAACUGACCUAGAUCUGAGAACGUUGGUACAUGUAUUGCUACCGUUGCCAAGCAGGACUGGAGAUUGUUAGAGUGUGAACAAGGUUCACACUUUGGUCAAUGCAAGCACAUCUUUUUUUUUUAGUAAUAUUGACUAACAAGAUUGCAGCAAUCAAACAAGUUAACACCGAAAUGUUAAAAGCAAUAAAGAAAUUAAAGCCCG